UACGGAGGAUGCAAGCGUUAUCCGGAUUCAUUGGGUUUAAAGGGUGCGUAGGCGGCUUUUUAAGUCAGCGGUGAAAUUUUGCAGCUUAACUGUAACAGUGCCGUUGAUACUGGGGAGCUAGGAUUUGGUUGCUGUGGGUGGAAUGUGUGGUGUAGCGGUGAAAUGCUUAGAGAUCACACAGAAUAUCGAUUGCGAAGGCAGCUCACAAAGCCAAGAUUGACGCUGAGGCACGAAAGUGUGGGGAUCAAACAGGA
rnacentral:rRNA from 1 species